rnacentral:tRNA from 1 species
GCCUGGCUGGCUCAUUCGGUUAAGCAUCUGACUUCGGCUCAGGUCAUGAUCUCACGGUUUGUGGGUUCAAGUCCCAUAUGGGGCU